GGUUCCGUAGUGUAGUGAAGCUAUCACGUUCGCUUCACACGCGAAAAGCGCGUCUCCGGUUCGAUCCCGGACGGAACCA